rnacentral:rRNA from 1 species
UACGUAGGGGGCAAGCGUUGUCCGGAAUCAUUGGGCGUAAAGGGUGUGUAGGCGGAUAGUUUAGUCAGAGGUGAAAGCCCAGGGCUCAACCCUGGAAUUGCCUUUGAUACUGGCUAUCUUGAGUUCGGGAGAGGUAAGUGGAACUCCGAGUGUAGAGGUGAAAUUCGUAGAUAUUCGCAAGAACACCAGUGGCGAAGGCGGCUCACUGGCCCGGUACUGACGCUGAGGUGCGAAAGCGUGGGGAGCAA